GGGGCUAUAGCUCAGCUGGGAGAGCGCUUGCAUGGGCAUGCAAGAGGUCGACGGUUCGAUCCCGUCUAGCUCCACCA
rnacentral:tRNA from 1 species